AUGCUGGGAUCAUGACCUGAGUCGAAGGCAGAUGCUUAAUGACUGAGCCACCGAGACACCCCUGCCUUUUCUUUCCUAAACCUUCUCCUUGCCCAGCCUUAUAACUCCCUCCCCACCCCCACCCUGCAACCUGUGAGGUCCCUAAGGACCUCACAGGUUGCAUGAUAUGGGUCAUUCGCCACCCUUCUCCUAGCACUGGGCACACAGCUAGCACUGAAUAAAUAUUUGUCCCACACUCCCUGAGGUCCUUUUCUCAACCUUCCCACACACAUUCUUUGGCCCAUAGCCCAAACCCCACCUCCAAGGUCACCUAGGACCUCGGAGUAGCCACAUCAAGGAUGCACUGGAAUCUUACUGGCCUGCCCUUCCCUUCUCACCCUCCCUCCCUUCGGACACCUGACUGUCCCAGGGAGCCUGCAGCCUUGCUCUGGCCUGACUCCAUUUCUCCUAAAUGUUGGGGUUCCUGGGUCUGCUUCUCCCUGAGAUCUGCCAGGGGAGCCCCUGCUUUGCUGGUUUCCCAUCAGUGUAUGCUAAGUCUCCCUUAGAACCACCUUCUGGAGCUCCCCUGCCACCUUUGGUUCCCUCCAUCUCUGAAGUCUCCAGGGCAAAACUCACUCCGUUGUCUCCUCCUAGAAUCUGCCUUUCUUCCUGAUUUCCAGCCUCAGACCUGGGGUCCACUCACAUCCAGCUUCUCAAGGCAGAGAGGAAAUAUUCCCAGAUUUGGGGGGGUGAAUGGACAUCAGACACCUUAGGAGACAAGAAUGGACGCCUGCAAUUUACUGUCAAACCAAGAGGCAGAAAAAUAAAGCAAACAGAGUAAAAUAUGAGCAACGAGGACUCUGGGUAUACAGGCGUUCUCCGUACUAUUCUGACAAGAUUUUAUGAGUCUUAAACUAUGUCAAUAACUAUAAGUAAACAUUUAAAUCCAUUGGUAGUAUUUGUGAAGUUCCUACUGAUGAAAUUAUAGGAUGUCUCGGUAGGAGGUGGCAGGAGGCAAUGGAUAAAACAAUUAAUAAAACGCUUCUAAUUGCUGAGCUA